rfam:Capsicum annuum cultivar Zunla-1 unplaced genomic scaffold scaffold3822, whole genome shotgun sequence
CAACAAAUCCAGACGGGGUCAAUGGGCGAUCAAAAAGGCCCAUGGCCUAGGUUGGUGACUUCCAUUGCACUUUGGAGGGGUGCCCACCUAAGGUUAACCCAAGUGGUUGAGCCUACGGACCACUUUUUGGCAGUGGGGGCUUGUGUUAGCAUGACCCCUAU